rnacentral:rRNA from 1 species
CAUGCAAGUCGAACGAGAAACUCUUCGGAGUAGUAAAGUGGCGAACGGGUGAGGAAUACAUGGGUAACCUGCCCUUGAAAAUGGAAUAACCUACCGAAAGGUGGGCUAAUACCGUAUACGCUCCUUUGUUUAUGGAUAAAGGAGGAAAGCCGUAUCAAGGAUGCGGUGUUCAAGGAGGGGCUCAUGGCCUAUCAGCUUGUUGGUGAAGUAACGGCUUACCAAGGCAACGACGGGUAGCUGGUCUGAGAGGAUGAUCAGCCACACUGGCACUGAGAUACGGGCCAGACUCCUACGGGAGGCAGCAGUGAGGAAUAUUGCGCAAUGGGCGAAAGCCUGACGCAGCGACGCCGCGUGGGGGAUGAAGGUUUUCGGAUUGUAAACCCCUUUCAGGAGGAAAGAUAAGGCGGGUUACCGCCUGGACGGUACCUCCAGAAGAAGCCACGGCUAACUUCGUGCCAGCAGCCGCGGUAAUACGAAGGUGGCGAGCGUUGUUCGGAUUUACUGGGCGUAAAGAGCGCGUAGGCGGUUUGGUAAGCCUCUUGUGAAAGCUCCCGGCUUAACCGGGGAAUGGUCGAGGGGAACUACCUACUAGAGGGCGGG